UCUUACAUGCUGAGGAGGAAUUGAUUUGUAGCUUUUGCACGAGGGAGAUUGAGACGGCUUCACAUCUGUUGUUUACUUGCUCGGUUGCAAUGCAAGUUUGGGACUUAUGUUAUGCUUGGCUCGGUGUGUCAACUGUGCUUCCCAGAGAUUCACGUGCCCAUCUUCUUCAAUUUUCUUUUGGGUGGAAUAGAGUCCAGCAACGGGUGGCCUACUCCAUUUGGUUGUCAGUGGUUUGGAGCUUAUGAUUAUGGUGGAAUGAAGUUGUUUUUAGGAGCAGGGAGAUGGAUGUUUACUCUAUUUUUGAGCUGGUCAAGUGGCGAACUUGGAGCUGGGUAAAGUCGAAGCUUAGAGGGUUUGAUAAUUCAUUCUUUGAGUGGACUUCACAACCUCUCAUGUGUCUUCAAUCGGUUUAAUUGUUAAGAGGAGGUUGCUGUAUUUUGUGUUGUUGUGUUCUGCUUUGCCUGCUGUAUUUCGUGGCUGGUAUUUUAGUCUCGUUUUUGUCUUCUUUUGCUGUUGGGUUUUUUGUACUUCUAGUAUCUUAGUUUUUUCCUUGUUUUGGUUCUUUUGUAUUGGGAUUGAAGUACCACUUGUACUUCUAUUUUAAUGCAAUGUCUGGCUUAUCUAAAAAAAAAACUUUAUUUUAUUUUUUUAAAUGGGGAACACAUUCUCACGUCCUCAAGUUACUCCCUCCGUUCCAAAAAAUUUGUAGUUUUUGGUAUGAUUUCAAUAUUCCAAAUAGUUUGCAAGAUCAAACACUACAACAAAAAUUACAUUUAGCGACAAUCUUGUAGUGGCAAAAGCCCUAUUGCCGGCAUUUUAUGUAAAAAAAAUACACUUUUUCUACGUAUUAUGAAUUUGCCAUUAAUAAGUUACGUAUAGUGGCAAUUGGUGAAAAAAGACAAAAAUUCACCAGAAAGUCUUUGUUCCCUCUUCCUCUUCGACCUCCUCGCUCUCUUCUUCCCCAUCGGAACCCUAGCUUCAAAUCUCUCAUCUUCUGGUUCUCCGUCGCCUGCAACGUCUGAUUCGGCGGCGGCCACAUAGUCCCCUUGCCCCCACUGCCGAUGUGAUCUGAAGCCUCCCCUGUAGCGGUGGUCCAGUCCUCGCAUAUCGGAGGAACUCACCGUUUCCCUGUCACCGUCGCCGAUGUGUGCGAAAUUCGAGCACAGCAAAACCGAGGGGACGACGUUGCAGCCGUGGCGAAUGAGGAGCCAGAAGGAGUGGAGUGAAGAGGACGUUGAGGUUCAGAACAAGCAGAUGGCGAAGCCAAUUGGAACAGAGCCAAUUCGCAUACUUAGCUCUCCAUUCUCGUUCAGUCGUGCUCACUCUCCUGCUCUGGAUCUCUGUUUGCUCCAGAUCUUUCAAGAUCUCCAAUGCGGCAUAUUGUUCACGGUAUUGAAGUAUCGUUGCUGUUAGUUCUUAGCAGAUGAAGAUAGUAAGAAAGUUGGCUAAGGACUUCUAUAAAUAUGCAACUGAGCAUCAAGACAGUACUUACCCCCUUGCAAAGGCUGUAUGUGAUGGAUUUAAGUAAAGUGUUGAACCUUCAGUUUAUUUAAGUGGAGGUAUGUAUGCUUAAUAUUUCAUUAAAUGAACUGCACUUUUGAUAUAGUCUUUGUGUUCUAAAAAUCUUUUGCAAGAGUGGUAUACUGAACUUUACAUACUGACUUUAACAGAUAUUAAGACUAACGAGUUCAAUGAAAGAAAUGAAGGCUGUUGGGAAGAUAAAAAUGCUAAUGUAACCGCUUUCCUACCACUAAUUGUUCUCCUAAUUAUAACUGCUAUGUGGUUAGCUGCAAGUUAAACCUUUAACUUUGGCAGGAUACUUUCAGAGGGAAAUUUGUGGUUGGCUGCAAGUUUGUGAGGGCCCUGUGAUGCUACAUCAUAUAUUUUCUAGUCACUUUUCUAAGUUCUAACUACAUACUCUUGUUAUGUAGGUCCUUAAUGAGGUCACUGCAUACUUGUGGUCUUGUAGGGUGAUUCUCUUUAUAUUAGUUGCAGGUUAGUUGUCUAAUCUUAUGGACCUUUAUGGAGAAUUAAUUUUAGAUAAAAUAUGUAAAGUUAAUUAAAAGCUUUUUAAUAUGAGAUAAUUUUGUUAAUUUGUUUCAUAAGUGCUUUAUUUUGUUGGUUAAAGCAUUGCAACUCAUGCUAUCCUUUCUCUUUUGGUAGGUUUUGGACCUCAUUUUUUGGCUUGUUGAAUGCUAUAAUGAUUUUUAGAGUUAAAGUUGAAGAUAUGCAUUUUGAUUUUUAUAUUUAACUUUAAGUUCACAUUAUCUUUCAAUCAGUUCAACAAGGAUUCUUUAGUUUAGCCCCCUCCCCCUAAAUGUGGUGCUUUGUUCCUUGAUGUUUAUGUUGUUAUUGAAUUCUAGAAAAAAAGUAUUGUCUAAGGUAAGUGGCCUAUGUGUCAAAUUUUGGGUCUGAAGAUAUCUAAAAAUAGUCAAUUUGAAUUGGUGAAUAGCAUCAUCCUACUAAAUUCUAUUGCUUAAGAUUCUGUCACACAGCUCAAAAGGGAAGUACUUGAUUACCUUGUAUUUGACAAGGACAAUACAGGUUAUUUGCCUAUGCUGCUCCAAGAGAUGUGGUUAUGUGUAUGAUUGAGAAGGAAAUUGAGUUUGAAGCAGUGCAUGUUGACCUCUCCAAAAGGGAGCAUAAGGGACCUGAGUUCCUCAAGGUUUCAGAUAAUCUUGUUGUUUCUCACUUCUUAGGGACGUAAAGGUUAAGGAUCGGUCUUGAAACAUUGUAACUACAAUUUUAUUGAUUUUGGAUAGAAUUUGAUUUUGGCAAAGUUGAUGAUGAUAAAAGUGAGUUCUGUUGCACCUUUGCUAUUGUAAUGGUGUUUCUUGGACAUCUUGUACUUCCUCUAGUCUUGGGUCACAAUUUUGGCUCAGGCAUCAUUCUCAAUAAUAUACAUUUCAUUUUCAAAAAAAAAAAGUGAGUUCUAUUAGGAUAUGUUAUGGAAAAAAGUUAUUGAUUUGAUAUUUGAAAUUUAGUUAUGAAAUCUCACAAUUGGUUAUGUCCACUGAGAAAAACUACUCUUGAGUUUUUCCGCAGAAUUAAUUUUAAGACUAAAAUAAUAUUGCUUAUGUCCAUUGUGAAUUUGGCACAAUCGAUUGUCAAACAUCUAUUUCACCACCUAAAAGUAAUUCUUAUCAAUGAGAAUCAAUUCAAGAUUCCAAACAUGAAACCAAACACACUAUAUUUACACUAUAUUUGAGGCUCAAAUUGGGACUAAGGAUUGUAAAAGAUGCUUAAAAUGAGUGGAUGUUAUGUUACCUCCUUU